rnacentral:rRNA from 1 species
AGCGAACGCUGGCGGCAGGCUUAACACAUGCAAGUCGAGCGCCCCGCAAGGGGAGCGGCAGACGGGUGAGUAACACGUGGGAACGUGCCUUUUGGUUCGGAACAACCCAGGGAAACUUGGGCUAAUACCGGAUAAGCCCUUACGGGGAAAGAUUUAUCGCCAAAAGAUCGGCCCGCGUCUGAUUAGCUAGUUGGUGGGGUAAUGGCCCACCAAGGCUACGAUCAGUAGCUGGUCUGAGAGGAUGAUCAGCCACAUUGGGACUGAGACACGGCCCAAACUCCUACGGGAGGCAGCAGUGGGGAAUAUUGGACAAUGGGGGCAACCCUGAUCCAGCCAUGCCGCGUGAGUGAUGAAGGCCUUAGGGUUGUAAAGCUCUUUUAGCAGGGAAGAUAAUGACGGUACCUGCAGAAAAAGCCCCGGCUAACUUCGUGCCAGCCGCCGCGGUAAGAC